rnacentral:rRNA from 1 species
GAUGAACGCUGGCGGCGUGCCUAAUACAUGCAAGUCGAACGCAUAGCGAAAGGUGCUUGCACCUUUCAAGUGAGUGGCGAACGGGUGAGUAACACGUGGACAACCUGCCUCAAGGCUGGGGAUAACAUUUGGAAACAGAUGCUAAUACCGAAUAAAACUUAGUGUCGCAUGACACAAAGUUAAAAGGGCCUUCGGGGUCACCUAAAGAUGGCUCCGGGGUGAAUUAGUUAGUUGGUGGGGUAAAGGCCUACCAAGACAAGGAUGGAUAGCCGCGUUGAGAGACUGAUCGGCCACAUUGGGACUGAGACACGGCCCAAACUCCUACGGGAGGCUGCAGUAGGGAAUCUUCCACAAUGGGCGAAAGCCUGAUGGAGCAACGCCGCGUGUGUGAUGAAGGCUUUCGGGUCGUAAAGCACUGUUGUAUGGGAAGAACAGCUAGAAUAGGAAAUGAUUUUAGUUUGACGGUACCAUACCAGAAAGGGACGGCUAAAUACGUG